AGGAUAAACGCUGGCGGCGUGCCUAACACAUGCAAGUCGAACGCGCUUUCGGGCUUCGGUGCGAGAGCGAGUGGCGGACGGGUGAGUAACACAUGGGUACCUGCCUUUCAGUGAGGGAUACCGGCGAGAAAUCGCCGACAAUACCGCAUGGGCUUGUGGGAACACAAGCAAAGUGGCGCAAGCCACGCUGGAAGAUGGGCCUGUGGCCGAUUAGCUAGUUGGGGGGGUAACGGCCUCCCAAGGCGACGAUCGGUAGCUGGUCUGAGAGGACGAUCAGCCACACUGGGAUUGAGAACGGCCCAGACUCCUACGGGGGGCAGCAGUGAGGAAUUUUCCGCAAUGGAGGCAACUCUGACGGAGCAACGCCGCGUGCAGGAGGAAGGUUUUCGGAUCGUAAACUGCUUUUCUCGGGGACGAGCAAGGACGGUACCCGAGGAAGAAGCCCCGGCUAACUACGUGCCAGCAGCCGC
rnacentral:rRNA from 1 species